rnacentral:lncRNA from 1 species
UGCAACACAGGCUAGGGCAAAAUGUGCCAUUAAUAGUUUUGGGAAGUUGGGAAGCAGAAGGGGAAAUGGUAAGCCACAGAAAGGUUCACAGAAUUGGCUGCCUUCUAACUAGCCACAUUUAACAAUGUGUUUACAGACAGCAGCAAAAUUUGCAACCUGGUCUUCCCAAUCAAUCCCUGGUACAAGACUGUUUCUUACCAGGGAGAAUCACAAUCACCAGCAGAAGAGAUGAUAUAGGAUAUGUUUUUGUGGAGAGACAGCCAAAAAGAUGAAGAACUUAACUCUUGGCAUAUUUCUUCUUCCAGCUAUCUCAAUUUUGAUGAAAUACAAAAGAAGAGAGGAGAUUUACAUUUGCAAACAACAGGUAAGAGGAAACGAUUGACACAAUUCAUUAUAUGAUCUGCUUUUCAGGAAGAUGUGGGCUUUCAACAUUAUCCCCAACGUUAUCCCCAUGUUUGAGCUAUCUGUGUUUCACCAUAUGGAUCAUUCUCACAAGAGGUACACAAUUACUCCACUCACAUGUCAAUUACUACAUUUGAUAUAGCUGUUUAAUCUGAACAAUUCAACCCAAAACAUUUAUUCUCCUGAGUUUGUGAUGGGCUUUAAUUUUUCACUUGCAUCAUUUUUGAGAAGCAUCAUGCUGCUCAGGGAAAAAUUCUCUGAGAAGAAAACUGUUAAGUGGAGAUCACAAGGUGUAAUGGAACUCUAGUCUAAUAUAUUAAUUGACCUGUUUUAUCUUCUGAUAGUUUCUGUUACAUUUGACCCUGCCGCCUUCAUGCAGUUAGCCUAGAAGAAUCCACCCCCUCAAAGGAGGAUUGUUUUAUCAGAACUCUGAGAAUCAGAGUUGUCAAGGCUUAGAUGCCAGGUAUUCAACAAAAGGAUCAGAGGAAUAUAUGACCAAUCCCUACCACGUAGGUUUGUUUACAUAAGUAUGUGAAUCACACACAAAACUAAAAUAUUUCAUCCAUCUGAUUCACCUGGAACCACGUGACUCUGUAUGGAAUUCUGAACUGUGGUCCACAUUUGCCCAACGAAUAACAUUUAUUUGGUGCUUGCUCUACUGUACAACUUGUAAGGAAUAAAAUGAGAAGUAGGCUACCUUACCUGUCCCCCAAGAGCUUAAAACUUCACAAAGUGAGUAAGAAAUACAUCCAGAUAAGUCUGAUAGAGGCAUUAUGUGAAAUACCAGAGAGGCACCAAUCAAUCUAAAAUGCCACAACCCAAUGGCACCUGUGUCCUUCAGAGCAUCAAAAGCUAUUAUUUUUUGUGGAGUUUCCUUGUACAUUAAUGGUUUGCCUGACUAGAACAAAUAUUAGCCUAUCUCGGUACAAUAGUUUUCCUAGCACAUAGCAAUAGCCUGGCUAUUCAAAGCAUAUUUUGUGGAAGGAAGGAAGGAAGGAAGGAAGGAAGGAAGGAAGGAAGGAAGGAAGGAAGGAAGUCAGUUAUGCCAAGGUCUAUUUUUGUUCAGUGAAAUAUCAAAUUUUAUUUUUUAAGAAUUUAGAAAAAUAGCCUUGUGUGUUAGAUUGGCUACUGCCAAGCUGGCACCACCAACAACCUCUUCCAAGCCUGAGAACUGCACUGGAAUCCUCUUGCAGAGUUAUGGAAGAGGACCUGGGAUAGACGUGGAAAGUGAAGCUAAUUUCCUGCUAAUUUUCUGAUUUUCUGGAGGUAUUUGCACACAUACACACAGACCAGGUUUGGACAUCCACCCACGAGGCUGAUAGAGUUAGUGAGGGCUUCUCGGAGAUUCUCAAGAAGUGCAGAGGCUUGCAAACAAGCUUUUGAAAACUACUCCAUGUGUUUCAGGCUGUGGGCAUCAGUGUCAUGUCUUCUGACCUUCGGGGCAGCCUCUCUGACCUUCAGUGGCAGCACUGUUGAACCCCUCCGCCCCUCCUUCCAGCUCUUCCAAAAGUUGUACAAGUUCCUAAUUAUCAAUUAAACUCUUUAUAUCUGGAACACAAAGAAUGGUUUCUAUUUCCUUGCCCAAACCUGACUUGUCCAUUCAGAAGUUUAUCCGGCCCUCACAUAUGACCACACUCACAUGAACAGUGUCUGUAUCUGGAUUAUUCCAUUUCAGUAAUUUCAGAUUAGCUUUCUCUUUGGACAAAAAGAAACCAGUCCACAGAGAGAAAAGACUUUAUUUGCACAUAAGACAAAUGAUAUUCAGUCAGUUAUUCUUUAGGAUAUCAACCUAACUCUGCUUGUAGAGUAGACAUUCAGUUCUUCUGAAUAACCAUUUUAAUUUCGUGAUGAUAGUUUUGUUGGGUAUCUCCAAUAAUUUAAAAUAAAUCUAUACCUCUCAGCAGGUAUGUUUUCAUUCCCAUUUAUAGCUGGAAAAGCUGAAACCUAUAAGAGUCAAUAGUAGCUCUGAUACAUCACAUUUCUUACUUUGGAAUAAUAUUAAAAACCCAAUAUCAUUUGAAAUAGAAGGUUUCAAAAAUAAUGGUAAUUUUUUUGUAGCCAGCCUCAUGAAUAAGAGGCCGCGCCGUGAAACUUAAUUUUAAACUUAAGAAUAUAAGCCACACAUAUUCAACUGAUUCAUUUUAACUCUUGGGAACACUUUAUUGUAUUUUCCUAAAGAUUUUUACUCAGAUUUUCCACUUCCAGAAUUUCCCAGUGCAGUUUGGUCCCAAUGCCUACCAAAUCCACUAAGAUUGCUCACAGAUAAUACCAACAGUGCAGCAAUAGCAACAAUUAAAAAAAAAAAAAAAAAAAAA